GCUCGGUGGUGUUUUAAUCCUGACUGCACAUUUGAAUCACCUAGGAAGCUUUAAAAAAUAGGCUGGUUCCUGAUUUUUAUUUUAUGAGCUCAGGAUGAUGAAUCUGAUCCUAAAAUCUGAGACACAUGUCUUGAAAUUGGGGCUAUCUCAGAAAAUAGAGGAGGGAAAAUAGAGAAGAGUAAGAAAAAGAGACAGAGGAAGGAAGAGGAAAAGAAGGAAGGAUCCAAAGAUGCAAAUGUGGGACAUUUUAGAAGAGCAGAACGUUGCAUUUCAGCCUUCCUGUCUGAUAUAUCCCAUCUGGUGACUGCAUUCAGAAGAGCCCUACCAAGAUUAUUUUCAUGGAGUUAUUUUGCCACUGUGUAUUUCACACUUCAUCUUUGCAGGAGAAUGGAUGGAUU